rnacentral:lncRNA from 1 species
AAAAACGCCGCAAAAAAUUGAGAUACACUUUCCAUAUAAACGCUUGUUUUAUUUUCAUCCCCUCCCCUAAAUCCCCAAUUUUGCGCUGCUAAAAACCCUGAUUCUAUUCCCUUUGUUUUCAUCGAUCAAAAUCCCCUUCUCAUAAAUUUUCUCUCUUGAUGGAAGAGACGCGAUGUGCAAUUUGACUGUUCCAAUUUCCUUUUCAAUGUUCAAUUAAAACCCUAGCCUCUUCCUUUUGCUUCUAUCGGGGGGGGGGGGAAGGAAUCAUGUCUUUCGAUCUCAUAUGCUGAAGCCGUCCUGCAGCUGCUUUGGAUCCUCCCAAGAUCUGUACGGUUGAGGACCAAAAGAAGAAAGAUGAUGACGAUUUGGUGAGUGGCUGUUCGGGAUUUCGCCCUCGGUGGUUCUCUACACCGCAAAUCCGUACGCUCUUCCCUUUUUUUUAUUUUAUUUCCUUUUGAAAAAUAAAUUUUUAAAUCUAUAUUCAAAUCUUAAUUCUUUUUAUUCUAAUAUAAAUUAUUUAAUUUCUUGUUUAUCUUCGUCUUCAAUUUUGGUGUACGUAUAUAAAAUUAUUAUGGAUUUCUCUUUAUUUUAAAUUUUUUUUAUCUUUGGUGCUUUAGUUUCAGUAAUUGAUUUACAGUUCUUAUUAAAUUCAAUGGCGUUUUUAAUUGCUUGUUCCUUCGAUUAGUUUGUUUGAUUUAGUUAAGGUUUGAUCUCUUUUAUGUUAUAAGUUUCGAUAAUUUUGCCAUUUAAGUUAUUAACGGACCUUUCUAGUCUUAGAUAUCUUGUAUUUUAAAGUUGAAUUUGUAAUUGUAACUACGAAUUUUGCAUUGAAUGAGAUCCAUCUUAUAAUUUUCAUUUCAAUUCGAGCACUGAAUGUUGAUUAUUCAUUUUAUUGCAGGAAUCAUUUCAACUUUUACCGUAUUCCCCGAAGCUUUUGAAUGGUUAUGUCCUGAGAAUCAGAUUGAUUAUGUCCUGUUAUUUGCCUAGGGCUUCCUUUAUAUGUCAAGAUCAUUCGUAUAGAAUAUAUGUCAUGGUUGUGCAUUUCCUUUUUGCUUACUAUAAUAACAAGAAUAUUAACUUUGAAAAAUAACCUUUUGUCCUAUUUAUAUGUAGUAUUGGCUAUACCAUGCUUAUGGAAGGUGGUAAAUAAACUCAGCUUGAAUGAACAGCUUUUAUUGAUGUUUGCUAGUUUAUUUUUAAGUUUGAUUGUGUUUGUUAAGAAUUCCAAAGUUGCACUUGUUUUUGUAUGUUUGUGUUCAUUCGUUUAAAUAAAUGAACUUAUUCGUGAACUUAAUAUAAGUAAAUAUGUCGACAAACAAUUAAAAAUCUGUUCAUGAAUAGUAAAUUGACAAACCAUAAAUAAACAUAUUUCUUAUUAUUUAGAUAUGAAAUAAUCAAAUAUAAAUAUUAUUUUAUUUUAUUAUAAUCAAACAAUAAACAAGUUCUCAGUAAAGCGACUAAUAGUUUAGUUCGUCUUUUGUAGAUGCUAUUCACGUCUUUGCUCGCCUUUGCGAUUGCUCUUUCAGCCUCUUCUCACAAUCCCUGAAGGUAUUCCCAACUUUUAUUUCUAUUUUGCUUUUGAUUGUUCGCUUAUGCUUGAAAUUUCUGUCUUUGAAUAUGAAAUUUUGAAUAUUACUCAGAUAUUAGCAACAUAUCUUAACUGACCAAAUGUAGUAUAAAGAUUUCUGUAUUAAGAGUUGAAUUAUAUUUUGUGUCUUUUAUUUAAAAAAUAGAUAAAUUAAUUUCUAUUAAAAAUUUCAUUUAUUUCUACCAUUAAAACUGUCGUGGAUGAUGAAAUAACCAGACAGUUACCGGUAGCAUAUAAGGACCCGUUUUUAAUAGUAAAAAUGUACAAAAUUCUUAAUUAAAAUAUCAAUUUACUUUUUAAUCUAAUAUAUAAAAAUCAAUUUACGGAUAGUUUGUUGGUAACAUUUAUGGCUGAUCCGGAUGCCAUCAUUAUUCCUUUCUAAGUGCCAAUAAGAAAUCAGAGCCAGCAGGGGAUGGUUGAUUAAUUUCAGUUCCAUGGUCAGCCUUUGCUACUUGAUUUGACCUAUGCCAAAGCUACUUUCGUGCUCCAAAUGCAAAAUUGAAUGUUUAUAGAUAAAAGUUACAGACUACUUCUAAGUUCUAACCAUGCCAUGCUGAAAUCUUGUGUUAAUAUUAGUCUUGUCAGGGCAUGCUAGUUUUGAAAAAAGUCAAAUUAAAUUAAAAGUUUUGAACUUUUUCUAUGAAUCGAUCAAUUUUGAAUUUCAAUUAUAUAGUUUAUGAGUUGAAUCACAUCAUUUUAUUUUCAAAUUCAAGCUGUUGGUUUUUAAUGAACAAAUCAAAUUAAAUUAAUUCAAAUUUAGAUUUGUUGAUACCAAGUUAAGAUUAUGGUAGCUAAUGACAGUUCCCUCACUAAAUGGGCAAAUAGCUGUAAGAUAUGUUGCUAAUAUUCAAAUUAUAAGAUAGCUGAAAAUUUGACAUGGUCCUGAAAUUCAAUUUAUAAUUUGUUGCUAAUAUUCUUUAAUUUUUAGCUGAAUUAAUUGACCAAAUUCGAUUUGUUGGUUAACCAUAAAAAAUUCAGUUUGGUUAACAGAAGAGAUUUUGAGAAAAUUUGAUAUUUGAAUGUUAUUUUGGUUAUUAGUUAGGAUUAAUCCUGUUAAGUUUUUAUACCUUCAUUUUAUUUGUUUUGAACUUUUAGUAUGUGUUAAUUUAACAUCUGAUGGUGAUUAAUAUCUUUAUUGUAUUGUGCUUCUAGAUUUUGAUUUGUUCUGAUAUUUUGGUUGGAUACAUGUAUGUGUUCUUUUAUAAAAUUUUCUUGUGUAAAAAUAUAUUACUUUUAUGUUUUGGAAUCUAUCCUUCAUGUUGCGGUGGAUUGAUAAUUAUGUGUGGGUUUUUUGGGUCUUCCAAAUAAGUUCCGUGUUAUUUCAACUCGUGAAUUUAAGUUCUGUGCUAUAUCAACUCGUGAAUUUUGAUCAUGAUGUCAACAAAAGUAUUGGUGUCCAAAUAAUUGCAUCCAUCGGGAAAAUACAGUUGAUGAAAAUAGGAGGUACAUGUGUAAUUUUGAUAUAGAUUCUAGGGUAUUGGUGAAUUAUUUUUUACCCUUUUUCUUAUAGAUAAUUUAUAAAUGCUUUAACUUUUGUUCCUGUUUGACAUUGAAGGCCUACUUUAUAUUGGAUGAACUCUUGAUUGCCGGUGAACUUCUUUAUGUUUGUCCGAAUUUGACUCAAUCCAAAUUAUAGGUUUAAAAUUUUAUUCAAUUCUAUUUCAUAUUUUUAAAUGAUUAACUUAAUCUCGUUUUAGACUUAUUCAGAUUUAUAAAGAAAUAUAUUUUUAGUUUAAUAUUUAAUAUUUUAGAUUUUUAUUAAAAUUUUAAAUAUAGCCAAUAUAUUUUUCAUAUAUGUUACUUUAUUUGCAGGUUAAUAGCUUUCCAGUAUUGGGUUUAAAAAGCUUUAUAAAUGCUUGAUGAAUAUUUUCCUGCAGGUAUUUCUUUUUACUCAUUUUUAAUCCCAUGCUGUAUUUGAUUUAUGCUGGACAUGUUUUGUUGCUAAAUUACUUAACUUAUUUCUAUGCAUUUUUGCUUUAACUUACUUAAGAAAUACAAUUUUUUUUACUCCAGCCUCUGUUUGCUUGUUGAAAUUAUUAAUGUACGUUUUAGUUCAAAAUUUGCAUAAAUAAUAGUUUCAUCAUGAUGAUUUUGAAAAAAAUCAUUUUACUUAGAUAUAUGAUUUGGUAUGAAGUAAUGAUGAGUAUGGUUUAUAAUUAGCUCAUCUUGGUAAGAUUGUUAAUUGGUAUAAUAUGCAUUUGUGGUUGUUAUAAUUCGGCUCAAGUGAAUUAAGUAUGGUUGUUGGAUGUGUUUUGGGUAUGGUUUAUUAUUGAAUUACAUUUUGACUGUAAUUUGUUUAUUUAUUAGUUUGGGAAAUGGCAGUGAUGAGCUGUUAUAUUUGGUUGAUGAUAGAUAAAUGAAUACAUAUGUACUUAUGUCAUGAAUUUUGGUGAUUUGGGAUGUAAAGGUCAAAUUGUUAUAUAUAUAUGUUAUUGUAUGUUCGGCUAUGAUAUUUGACUAUUUAUGUUUGGUUUACGAUGGCAAGAAUGAAUAUGUUUUAACUGUUAUAUUGAAGUCAUAUUAAAUGACCGAAUAUAUAUAAAUUGAUUUACUUGUGUAUAUGAAAUUUCAGCAUGAUUUAUAGCAUAUGAAAUUGACAUGUUUUGAUUUGGCUAAAUGACAUGAAAAAUGAUUAAUGUUAGUCAAGUGAGCAAUGUAUGAAUUGGUUAUGUUGCAAGCGAAAUUUGGUUAUUUAGAUAUGCUUGUAUGUGAUUGUAAAAUUUUGCUUACUUAACCAUGAGGUAUAGUUCAGAUACAAGCUAGCACAGAUGAGCAAAUUUCUCAACUUAGAGCGAAGGCAGCAGCGAGGGAGGCAGAGGCAGCAGCGAGGGAGGCGGAGCAGAACAGAAAAUACAAUAAACUCUAGCUACAGCUUCAGUCCAUGAUGACUAUGUUCCAGCAAUUUCAAAAUCCGCCAUCUUAAACAUUUGUUUUAUUGUAACUUUUAACAUUAUUUUAAGAAUAUUUUGAAUAUUCAUUUACAAUUUAUAUAAUAUAUUUUUCGUAUAAUUUUGUAUUAUUUAAAUUUGCGGGUUUUGGUUGGAUUUCAUUGUACAUUUGUUGUUUUUGGUUGAGUUUCUUGCAGGAGGGUUGGAUAUGGGUGGAAAAACAUAUAUAGCAAAAUUGGGCAACUUAGCGGCGUUUUUUAAAAAAGUGCCGCGAAAGGACCUGAUCUUUAGUGGCGUUUUUAUAAAAGCACCGCAAAAAGUCCUGGUCUUUAACGGCGUUUUUUAAAAAAGCGCCGCGAAAGGUCCUGGUCUUUAGCGGCGUUUUUUCCUAAAAACGCCACGAAUUUUUAUGGCGGUGUAUAUAGCGACGUUUUUU